AUACGGCCAUAUUAUGUUGAAACACCGUUUCCUUCUUUCGAUCAACGAAGUUAAGCAACGUCGGGAAUGAUCAGUACCUAUAUGGGUGACCGCUUUGGAAUACCAGGUACUGUAAG